GACGAACGCUGGCGGCGUGCUUAACACAUGCAAGUCGAACGAAGAGCGAUGGAAGCUUGCUUCUAUCAAUCUUAGUGGCGAACGGGUGAGUCACGCGUAAUCAACCUGCCCUUCAGAGGGGGACAACAGUGGGAAACGACUGCUAAUACCGCAUACGAUCUAAUCUCGGCAUCGAGGAUAGAUGAAAGGUGUCCUCUACAUGUAAGCUAUCACUGAAGGAGGGGAUUGCGUCUGAUUAGGUAGUUGGUGGGGUAACGGCCCACCAAGGCGAUGAUCAGUAGCCGGUCUGAGAGGAUGGACGGCCACAUUGGGACCGAGGCACGGCCCAGACUUCUACGGGAGGCAGCAGUGGGGAAUCUUCCGGAAUGGAGGAAAGUCUGACGGAGCAACGCCGCGGGAGUGAAGACGGCCCUCGGGUUGUAAAGCUCUGUUAAUCGGGACGAAAGGACUUCUUGCGAAUAGGGAGAAGGAUUGACGGUACCGGAAUAGAAAGCCACGGCUAACUACGUG
rnacentral:rRNA from 1 species